rnacentral:misc_RNA from 1 species
GAGAGAGAGAGAGAGAGAAUAUAAAUAGAAAUUGGUUGGAUAUGGUAUACGCAAAGAAGUAUGUAUAGAGGACUAUAUAUAUAAGUGCUGUAGGACAAAAAAGGCCAAAGAAAUAGAUGAGGAAAGCAUUUGUUUUCAUGGAGACUAGAAUGGGUUGUGUUGAAGUGGGGUUAGUUUUACUAUGCAUCUGAGAAGAGCCACCUACCUACAUGGAUGGAGAGAAGGGAAUUGUUUUCGGAAAUUUAAAUGGGCCCCUUAUGUAGGGUAUCAG